GUUGUGUUUGUUGAUAGGAGAUAGUGUUGUGGUUGUUGAUAGGAGACAACACUAUCUCCUAUCAACAAACAAC
rnacentral:pre_miRNA from 1 species